rnacentral:rRNA from 1 species
UACGAAGGGGGCUAGCGUUGCUCGGAAUCACUGGGCGUAAAGGGUGCGUAGGCGGGUCUUUUAAGUCAGGGGUGAAAUCCUGGAGCUCAACUCCAGAACUGCCUUUGAUACUGAAGAUCUUGAGUUCGGGAGAGGUGAGUGGAACUGCGAGUGUAGAGGUGAAAUGCGUAGAUAUUGGGAGGAACACCAGUGGCGAAGGCGGCUCACUGGACCGGAACUGACGCUGAGGCGCGAAAGCGUGGGGAGCAAACAGG